rnacentral:rRNA from 1 species
ACGGGAGGCAGCAGUAGGGAAUCUUCCGCAAUGGACGAAAGUCUGACGGAACAACGCCGCGUGAGUGAUGAAGGUUUUCGGAUCGUAAAGCUCUGUUGUUAGAGAAGAACAAGUGCGAGAGUAACUGCUCGCACCUUGACGGUACCUAACCAGAAAGCCACGGCUAACUACGUGCCAGCAGCCGCGGUAAUACGUAGGUGGCAAGCGUUGUCCGGAAUUAUUGGGCGUAAAGGGCUCGCAGGCGGUUUCUUAAGUCUGAUGUGAAAGCCCCCGGCUCAACCGGGGAGGGUCAUUGGAAACUGGGAAACUUGAGUGCAGAAGAGGAGAGUGGAAUUCCACGUGUAGCAGUGAAAUGCGUAGAGAUGUGGAGGAACACCAGUGGCGAAGGCGACUCUCUGGUCUGUAACUGACGCUGAGGAGCGAAAGCGUGGGGAGCGAACAGGAUUAGAUACCCUGGUAGUCCACGCCGUAAACGAUGAGUGCUAAGUGUUAGGGGGUUUCCACCCCUUAGUGCUGCAGCUAACGCAUUAAGCACUCCGCCUGGGGAGUACGGUCGCAAGACUGAAACUCAAAGGAAUUGAC